CCUACGGGAGGCAGCAGUGAGGAAUAUUGGUCAAUGGGCGCGAGCCUGAACCAGCCAAGUCGCGUGAGGGAGGACGGCCCUACGGGUUGUAAACCUCUUUUGCCGGGGAGCAACGGGCGUCACGUGUGGCGCCCCUGAGAGUACCCGGAGAAAAAGCCUCGGCUAACUCCGUGCCAGCAGCCGCGGUAAUUCGGAGGAUCCGAGCGUUAUCCGGCUUUAUUGGGUUUAAAGGGUGCGUAGGCGGCCUUUUAAGUCAGCGGUAAAAGUCUGUGGCUCAACCAUAGAAUUGCCGUUGAAACUGGGGGGCUGGAGUAUGUUUGAGGCAGGCGGAAUGCGUGGUGUAGCGGUGAAAUGCUUAGAUAUCACGCAGAACCCCGAUUGCGAAGGCAGCCUGCCAAGCCAUGACUGACGCUGAUGCACGAAAGCGUGGGGAUCAAACAGGAUUAGAUACCCGAGUAGUC
rnacentral:rRNA from 1 species